GUGGAUUUAACAGGUGACGUCAAUAAGGGACCAUAGCUUUCACCUGGAUUCACCUGUUUCCUACACUCAGUAUAUAUUAUUUGUUGGUCCUUCCUUCCGGGAACCAAGUUUAUAUACAUGGCUGGAACAUUUUCCCAUGCAGUUAGUUGCAUUGUUUCAAAUAACAUAGAUACAACUUCACCACUUUCCUGAAGAGCCUCAGAAGUUACAAAUCAAUGAGCUGAGAUCAAGGAGAUCAUGCAAGGGAUAAAACGUUGACGGCAACAAGAGAAGGCAUCAGAUUCUGAGUAAAAUUGUUGAGGACAAGGCAGCCUUGACAGCUGUUCAACUUCACGAGCAGCAGGCAGAGUUUAGCCCCCCACAGUGGAUGAGCUGAUCAAUACUGACACCUUUGUGUGGCCAUGGGAGAGACUUGGCACCAGUAAAUAUAUGAUUGCAGAAGG
rnacentral:lncRNA from 1 species